CACUGGAACCUGCUGAGCCGUGCAGGGCAGCCUGGUGGUGACCGGGACACUCUUACAGAGGACCUGGAGCUGGGCUGCUCCCAGGGCUCCCGUCUCCUGCUGGGUCUGGUCUCAGGUGCACCCUCGUCCCGCAGGAGGUGGGGGCAAGAGCAACUUCAGCCCCUUUUGCUCCCCGUGGCAGAAGUCCUCCUGGCAGGGUAUGCCCACGCUGGUUAGUGCUGCUGCAAAGAUGAGCCGAAGACCAUGAGAGACCCCAGGUGGUCCUUCUGGGGAAAAGAAAUGGGUUUUGGCCCCAAACCCUUUUGCUGCAUUUUUCCCCUAUCCCUGGGAAGCCAUGAGACCUCAAAUCUGUGUUCCCAAGGAGGAGAGCAGCUGUUGCCAGGUGAUAAUAUGACAUGCUUGGGGAAAGUAAGUGGCUGCCAGACAUGGCUGAGAGCUGUUGUCACUGGCAUCAAGUGCGUGUCUCCAAGCCUCAUCACACGGCGUCCCUCGACGUGAGGCCACAUGGCAAGUGGGCCGCGGAUCUCCCCUGCCCUUUGCAAGCACGUAAGACAGCAGGUUUUGCAGAUACCUUGUGGCGCAGGGGAAUUUCCUUUGGCCAGGUCUGAAGAAGUAAAGUAGCAGGCACAGAGAACAAAGCCAAGGCUUUCAAAAGGCAAGGAGCCAAAAAAUUUUUCAAAAUAAAAGUAGUUUUAAAACGUC